rnacentral:rRNA from 1 species
AAUCCUGGCUCAGGAUGGACGCUAGCUACAGGCUUAACACAUGCAAGUCGAGGGGCAGCAUGGUCUUAGCUUGCUAAGGCUGAUGGCGACCGGCGCACGGGUGAGUAACACGUAUCCAACCUGCCGUCUACUCUUGGCCAGCCUUCUGGAAGGAAGAUUAAUCCAGGAUGGGAUCAUGAGUUCACAUGUCCGCAUGAUUAAAGGUAUUUUCCGGUAGACGAUGGGGAUGCG